rnacentral:rRNA from 1 species
GACGAACGCUGGCGGCGUGCUUAACACAUGCAAGUCGAACGGGUCUGCCCUGUUUUUUGCGGGGUGGGUCAGUGGCGAACGGGUGAGUAACACGUGAGUAACCUGCCCCUCACUUCUGGAUAACCGCUUGAAAGGGUGGCUAAUACGGGGUGUUCUGGCUGUGCCGCAUGGUGUGGCUGGGAAAGAUUCACUUUUGUGGUGUUUUGGUGGGGGAUGGGCUCGCGGCCUAUCAGCUUGUUGGUGGGGUGAUGGCCUGCCAAGGCUUUGACGGGUAGCCGGCCUGAGAGGGUGGGCGGUCACACUGGGACUGAGAUACGGCCCAGACUCCUGCGGGAGGCAGCAGUGGGGGGUAUUGCACAAUGGGCGGAAGCCUGAUGCAGCGACGUCGCGUGAGGGAUGGAGGCCUUCGGGUUGUGAACCUCUUUCGCCGGUGAAGAAGGUCCUGCUCUUUGUGGUGGGGUUGACGGUGGCCGGGUUAUGAAGCGCCGGCUAACUACGUG